rnacentral:rRNA from 1 species
CGCAACGAGCGCAACCCUUUUCCUUAUUUGCCAGCGGGUUAAGCCGGGAACUUUAAGGAUACUGCCAGUGACAAACUGGAGGAAGGCGGGGACGACGUCAAGUCAUCAUGGCCCUUACGACCAGGGCUACACACGUGCUACAAUGGUCGGUACAAAGGGUUGCUACCUAGCGAUAGGAUGCUAAUCUCAAAAAGCCGAUCGUAGUCCGGAUUGGAGUCUGCAACUCGACUCCAUGAAGUCGGAAUCGCUAGUAAUCGCGGAUCAGAAUGCCGCGGUGAAUACGUUCCCGGGCCUUGUACACACCGCCCGUCACACCAUGGGAGUUUGUUGCACCAGAAGUAGGUAGUCUAACCGCAAGGAGGACGCUUACCACGGUGUGGCCGAUGACUGGGGUGAAGUCGUAACAGGGUAACC